UCUAAUUUUAUGCAUGUGGUAUUCUAUUUAAUUACAAGAAUUACAUUAAGAACAACUGCUAAUCAUCUGCUUCAGCUAAUUUCAAAGAAAAAAUGUCUAAUAGUACUUUUACAUUUUCUAAUUAGUAUAUUUUCUUCAGAAACACACACUGUCUAGUUGACUUUCUUGGAAGUGAUGUUGGCAGCUAUUAAUGAUCACUAUCAAGAUUCAUCAAUUUGUUAGGAGUUAAAAAUGACUCCUAACUUUUGUCACUCUU
rnacentral:lncRNA from 1 species